rnacentral:lncRNA from 1 species
CUUUAUUUUUUAAGCUUUUGUUUCUUUAUUUUUAUGUUUUUAUUUUGGGAAAUUUUAUAAUUUAUAUAAUUCGAUUUUUUUUUGUUCGGUUUUGUUUUUGAUUUAUUUGUUUUUAAAUUUAAUUAUUGAUUUGUUAACAAUAAUUUAGUGUUUCUUGUUAUAAUAAUUCUAGGUUUGUUUCUAGCUAUUUUUUUUUCUAAAUUAAUAUUAUUAUUUUUUUCAAAAAUUAUUUCUCCUAAAUUUUGUGUUUAUUUGUUUUUUAUUAAUUUGUUUCAACUAAUUUUGUGUUUCUCCUUAAAAUAAUACUAGAUUUGUUUUUGGAUAUUAUUUUUUAAUUUUUUCGAAAAUUAGAUUUUUUUUAUAAGAUAAAAAUAAUAUUAUUUAUUUU